GAUUAACGCUGGCGGCGUGCAUAACACAUGCAAGUCGAACGAUGAAACUUAAAUGAUUUCUUCGGAAUGAACUUAAGUGGAUUAGUGGCGGACGGGUGAGUAACGCGUGAGUAACCUGCCUUACACAAGGGGAUAGCCGUUGGAAACGACGAAUAAUACCCUAUGAAACUAUCACUUCGCAUGAAGCGAUAGUCAAAGUGUUAGCGGUGUAAGAUGGACUUGCGUCUGAUUAGCUAGUUGGUGAGAAAAAAGCCCACCAAGGCAACGAUCAGUAGCCGGCUUGAGAGAGUGUACGGCCACAUUGGGACUGAGACACGGCCCAGACUCCUACGGGAGGCAGCAGUGGGGAAUUUUGCACAAUGGGGGAAACCCUGAUGCAGCGACGCCGUGUGAUUUAGAAGGCCUUCGGGUUGUAAAAAUCUUUUGUAUAGGAAGAAAAUGACAGUACUAUACGAAUAAGGUCCGGCUAAUUACGUG
rnacentral:rRNA from 1 species